GGUGGGAGGGCAAUCUGGCUGCCAUCUAUUAUAUCUAUCACCUAUUGAUUUUUCUGAGUUGGUUCUGCUUAUCUGAUUUGCUAGGUGGGGUCCCCUUUUUCCCCCUCAGCUGUCCAUCUACAUCCCUCCCACAACUCAGUCAAAAAGGGUGACCUUCCCAUAUAGAGAAGAAAUCACCUUCAGGCAAGGGAACUGAAGUUGUCGAACUCCCUGAGGAUAAUUAUGAAACCAGCUCUGCUUGUGGACGGUAAACAAUUUCCUUUAAUUUGCUAAGUCCUUCUAUCUCUUUUACAAUAGGAAGGAGAU
rnacentral:snRNA from 1 species